UGUUUAGGGUAUGCUGUGGGUUUGUGUUUGAACGGAUGAUGUUGCAGACAGCAGCUUGGUGGGAAAAGGAUUUGGAAGUUGAGGUGAGGUAUCAUCUGAAGUGAUUGGCUUAGUCGAAUCAUUCAAAGUUCUGAUAAUUAGUCUCUCAUAGUCUCAUGUCAUGUUUUCUUUAUUGCAAGGUGCAAGGUCUUGUAUAAACUAAUUUUGGUGUAUUAAUACAUGGAAAAAAAAAAAUAGAAAAGCUCGAAUCUAUUUGUUCUGCAAAAAAAAACAUAAAGUUUUAUGGCUAAAGAAGCUUUUGGAAACUCCAUCAUUUUAGUGGGAGAAUCACAGAAAAGAUUGGUCGUCAAUUAUUUCUUUUAUUAAUCAGGCAGGAUGCACAUGAUGAUUGAUUAUUAACCAUAAUAUAAUAAUAAUGUAGACGAAGACGAC
rnacentral:lncRNA from 1 species